rnacentral:lncRNA from 1 species
UUUUUAACAACCGCGUCAAAUUUCUAGUUAAAUUUGAACAAUUUAAACUAACUUGAAGGAAUUUUUUAUGUGUUUGUUUUGUCUAUUAAAAAAGGGUGGCUGUUUCUACUAAUUAGGCAGAAUUAAAGCUAAACACCUAGUAUUUGGUUCACCAAUGAACAACUUACUAUUUCACGUGUAAUAUUUGUCUUUCUUACAGACAAAAAAACAUUGGAUGAUUUUUUACAUCUGGGAUAUCAAAUGAAUAAGGGAUUUCUAGAACUAACUUAAACAAUUUCUGACAUGUAUAUCUACAGGCCGAUAACAGUGUUUUGCAUAAAUAAUAAUUUUCGCUGGUCGAAAUUUUUGUUUGGCUACGUGCUUUUGGGAAGAAAAAAAUUUAAGUUUUCGUUUGAACAGGUUAAGAUGACCAUAUAGGCAAAGUUGAAUAAGAGGAAUUUUGCUAUUUCUGUUGGUCAUUUAGCACUUCAUGUGUCUUAAACUUUAUUGGCUUUCAAUUGAAUUUGGAUGAACGUUCUAGCUGAAUGUAAAAAAAGAAAAGCGCUUUGGACGCACGACAUUUUUGUGUUUAUUUUUAUGUAAUAACAUAUAACAAAUAGAUUUUUUAUGAUAUUUGUUAUGUGAUUUUUAUUGAAUUUAAUAUUUUUUUCUAUUGAAAUUUUAUUGAUAUAUGUUGUGGUCAGAGGUUUCAACAAAUCUUUCAAUAUGUCCCGAUCUCGAGGCCUUCGUGUAGUUUCUAAGUAAAUGAUAACAAGCUUGUUUACGGUUGUGUUAUCACGUUUCAAAUUAUUUAAGUUACAUUUUAUUACAAAACGUCGAAGAAGGCAUCAUUUUGUAAAUAACAUUUGUUAGUGAGUGAAAACAAAAUUGUAAACAUGGUAUAUAAGGGAUAAAAAUACAUGUUAUGAAAUAUAUAAUUUAAAAUUGACUAUUU